rnacentral:rRNA from 1 species
CCUACGGGAGGCAGCAGUGGGGAAUAUUGCACAAUGGGGGAAACCCUGAUGCAGCGACGCCGCGUGAGUGAUGAAGUAUUUCAGUAUGUAAAGCUCUAUCAGCAGGGAAGAUAAUUACGGUACCUGACUACGACGCUCCGGCUAAAUACGUGCCAGCAGCCGCGGUAAUACGUAUGGAGCAAGCGUUAUCCGGAUUUACUGGGUGUAAAGGGAGCGCAGACGGCAGGGCAAGUCUGAUGUGAAAGUCCGGGGCUCAACCCCGGGACUGCAUUGGAAACUGUCCGGCUAGAGUGCAGGAGAGGUAAGUGGAAUUCCUAGUGUAGCGGUGAAAUGCGUAGAUAUUAGGAGGAACACCAGUGGCGAAGGCGGCUUACUGGACUGUAACUGACGUUGAGGCUCGAAAGCGUGGGGAGCAAACAGGAUUAGAUACCCUAGUAGUC